GCCCUCGUAGCUUAGUAGGUAAAGCGUAUGGCUGUUAACCAUAAGAUCACCAGUUCGAGUCUGGUCGAGGGCG
rnacentral:tRNA from 1 species